rnacentral:rRNA from 1 species
GACGUAGGGCGCGAGCGUUGUCCGGAUUUACUGGGCGUAAAGGGCGCGUAGGCGGCGCGGUAAGUCACUUGUGAAAUCUCUGAGCUUAACUCAGAACGGCCAAGUGAUACUGCAGUGCUAGAGUGUGGAAGGGGCAAUCGGAAUUCUUGGUGUAGCGGUGAAAUGCGUAGAUAUCAAGAGGAACACCUGAGGUGAAGACGGGUUGCUGGGCCAACACUGACGCUGAGGCGCGAAAGCCAGGGGAGCAAACGGG